UAGGGAAUCUUCCACAAUGGACGCAAGUCUGAUGGAGCAACGCCGCGUGAGUGAAGAAGGUUUUCGGACCGUAAAGCUCUGUUGUUGGUGAAGAAGGGAUAGAGGUAGUAACUGGCCUUUAUUUGACGGUAAUCAACCAGAAAGUCACGGCUAACUACGUGCCAGCAGCCGCGGUAAUACGUAGGUGGCAAGCGUUGUCCGGAUUUAUUGGGCGUAAAGCGAGCGCAGGCGGAAGAAUAAGUCUGAUGUGAAAGCCCUCGGCUUAACCGAGGAAUUGCAUCGGAAACUGUUUUCUUGAGUGCAGAAGAGGAGAGUAGAACUCCAUGUGUAGCGGUGGAAUGCGUAGAUAUAUGGAAGAAUACCAGUGGCGAAGGCGGCUCUCUGGUCUGCAACUGACGCUGAGGCUCGAAAGCAUGGGUAGCGAACAGGAUUAGAUACCCUGGUAGUCCAUGCCGUAAACGAUGAGUGCUAAGUGUUGGGAGGCUUCCGCCUCUCAGUGCUGCAGCUAACGCAUUAAGCACUCCGCCUGGGGGAGUACGACCGCAAGGUUGAAAC
rnacentral:rRNA from 1 species